rnacentral:rRNA from 1 species
UACAGAGGUCCCAAGCGUUGUUCGGAUUUACUGGGCGUAAAGGGUGCGUAGGCGGUCGGGUAAGUCUGGUGUGAAAUUUCGGAGCUCAACUCCGAAACGGCAUUGGAUACUAUUCGGCUAGAGGUUGGGAAGGGAGACUGGAAUUCUCGGUGUAGCAGUGAAAUGCGUAGAUAUCGAGAGGAACACCAGUGGCGAAGGCGAGUCUCUGGACCAAUCCUGACGCUGAGGCACGAAAGCCAGGGGAGCAAACGGG